UACGGAGGAUGCAAGCGUUAUCCGGAAUUAUUGGGCGUAAAGCGUCCGCAGGUGGCAGUUCAAGUCUGCUGUCAAAGACCGGGGCUUAACUUCGGAAAGGCAGUGGAAACUGAGCAGCUAGAGUAUGGUAGGGGCAGAGGGAAUUCCUGGUGUAGCGGUGAAAUGCGUAGAGAUCAGGAAGAACAUCGGUGGCGAAGGCGAUCUGCUGGACGGUAACUGACACUGAGGGACGAAAGCUAGGGGAGCGAAUGGG
rnacentral:rRNA from 1 species